GACGAACGCUGGCGGCGUGCUUAACACAUGCAAGUCGAACGGAAAGGCCCUGCUUUUGUGGGGUGCUCGAGUGGCGAACGGGUGAGUAACACGUGAGUAACCUGCCCUUGACUUUGGGAUAACUUCAGGAAACUGGGGCUAAUACCGGAUAGGAGCUCCUGCUGCAUGGUGGGGGUUGGAAAGUUUCGGCGGUUGGGGAUGGACUCGCGGCUUAUCAGCUUGUUGGUGGGGUAGUGGCUUACCAAGGCUUUGACGGGUAGCCGGCCUGAGAGGGUGACCGGCCACAUUGGGACUGAGAUACGACCCAGACUCCUACGGGAGGCAGCAGUGGGGAAUAUUGCACAAUGGGCGGAAGCCUGAUGCAGCAACGCCGCGUGCGGGAUGACGGCCUUCGGGUUGUAAACCGCUUUCGCCUGUGACGAAGCGUAAGUGACGGUAAUGGGUAAAGAAGCACCGGCUAACUACGUG
rnacentral:rRNA from 1 species